rnacentral:rRNA from 1 species
UUUUCAGCAGCCGCGGUAAUACGGAGGGUGCAAACGUUGCUCGGAAUCAUUGGGCGUAAAGCGCACGUAGGCGGCCCAGCAAGUCGGGUGUGAAAGCCCUCGGCUUAACCGAGGAAGUGCAUUCGAAACUACUGAGCUUGAAUACUGGAGAGGAUCGCGGAAUUCCCGGUGUAGAGGUGAAAUUCGUAGAUAUCGGGAGGAACACCAGUGGCGAAGGCGGCGAUCUGGACAGAUAUUGACGCUGAGGUGCGAAAGCGUGGGGAGCAAACAGGAUUAGAAACCCCGGUAGUCC